rnacentral:rRNA from 1 species
GACGAACGCUGGCGGCGUGCCUAAUACAUGCAAGUCGAACGCAGUGGGGACGGGUGAGUAACACGUGGGUAACCUCCCAUCAGAGGGGAUAACACUUGGCAAAAGGUGCUAACACGAUCCGGAUGGAUGGACCCGCGGUGCCUUAGCUAGUUGGUGAGGUAACGGCUCACCAAGGCCACGAUGCAUAGCCUACCUGAGAGGGUUGUCGGCCACACUGGGACUAAGGCCCGGCCCAGACUCCUACGGUAGGCAGCAGUAGGGAAUCUUCGGCAAUGGGCGAAAGGCUGACCGAGGAACGCCGCGUGAGUGAAGAAGGUUUUCGGAUCGUAAAACUCUGUUGUAAGAGAAGCGGUAUCUAACCGGAGAGCCACGGCGAACUACGUGCCAGCCGCCGCGGGAAUUG